rnacentral:ncRNA from 1 species
UUGUGGGUUAAGGCCCCCAAGAGACUAUUGGGUUGAUAGGCCGGAGAUGGAAGGUCGGUAACGGCUGGAGUUGACCGGUACUAAUAGGCCGAGGACUUGUCAUG